rnacentral:rRNA from 1 species
UACGUAGGGUGCGAGCGUUAAUCGGAAUUACUGGGCGUAAAGCGUGCGCAGGCGGUGAUGUAAGACAGGUGUGAAAUCCCCGGGCUUAACCUGGGAACUGCAUUUGUGACUGCAUCGCUGGAGUGCGGCAGAGGGGGAUGGAAUUCCGCGUGUAGCAGUGAAAUGCGUAGAUAUGCGGAGGAACACCGAUGGCGAAGGCAAUCCCCUGGGCCUGCACUGACGCUCAGGCGCGACAGCGUGGGGAUCAAACAGG